UUACUGAUUGGAGGGAAGAAUGAGAAAGACUUAAUAAGAAGAGCUUUAGGUGCAAUAUUUGCUGAUAAUGUAGCUUAAGCUUUCAAAGCUACAUUCCCCCGCAGCACUGAAAAAGAUUUCGAACAUUGUGUAAUGGAGUGGUUUAGGUUUGCUAACGUACGCAGGCAAAAGAAAGAACUUCUGAGAAAAGACAAAGACGGAUAAGUGAUGGGUAAAUGACAAGUGAUGGAC